CCUACGGGAGGCAGCAGUAGGGAAUAUUGCUCAAUGGGGGAAACCCUGAAGCAGCAACGCCGCGUGGAGGAUGAAGGUUUUCGGAUUGUAAACUCCUUUUGUUAGAGAAGAUAAUGACGGUAUCUAACGAAUAAGCACCGGCUAACUCCGUGCCAGCAGCCGCGGUAAUACGGAGGGUGCAAGCGUUACUCGGAAUCACUGGGCGUAAAGAGCGCGUAGGCGGGAUAGCAAGUCAGAUGUGAAAUCCUAUGGCUUAACCAUAGAACUGCAUUUGAAACUGUUAUUCUAGAGUAUGGGAGAGGUAGGUGGAAUUCUUGGUGUAGGGGUAAAAUGCGUAGAGAUCAAGAGGAAGACUGAUUGCGAAGGCGACCUGCUAGAACAUAACUGACGCUGAUGCGCGAAAGCGUGGGGAGCAAACAGGAUUAGAUACCCGGGUAGUC
rnacentral:rRNA from 1 species